UACAACUGUUGUUCAGAGCAUCUGCAAGCUAACUGCCGCUGAUCAUGCCUUCGCAGGGCACUUCAAAGGGAGUACAAUCCAUGCUGUAUGGUCCUUCCAAACAGAAUUUCCGAUCAGAUUUGAUGAAGUGAGUUCUGAUUGACCGUUAUCACCUUUCAGCCAUCUGAAGCUCACACAGUGGAGGGUAACUGUCUUCGAAGGGAAUAGGCCAUAGGGAUGGUCACUUCUGAAUGGGACAUGCCAAUGCGGGAGCUGGACAUGAAAAAAGUUGCUGGAGUUUAUUUAUAUAUUUUUUGCAGGAGAAGGUUUCUUGGGAUGUACAGCUCGAGCAACUGUCCUUUAUUCUUUCUGCUUAAGUGUACUGUGAUUCAAAACAUGAAUAUUAUAUUUUACUCGCUUGUUACUCAUUCAUCUGCAUUGGACUUGCACAAAGGAUCCACUCCAGGCUUGUCCUAUAAGCAAACACAGUGAUAUGCUCUGUGCAUUUGUGGGAUGGUUAUGGAUUAAUGUUGUGAUGCAUGUGGACAGACGAUUUUCUUUAUUUUAUUCUUUGCUUAUAUGAUAUUAUGCUUGUAAUCAAUUAUAUCCUCUAUUAGGCAAUAUUCAUAUAUCCAUUCUUUAUAUAUUCAUUUAUCUAUGCAGUCAUGUCAUCAGUGUACUUAAUAAUACUCAAUAUGUAUGCUGGGAUAUUAAGCAUUUAUUUUAAUAUUCAAUGUUCAGUUACUAUGUUUUGUUACUCAUGAUACCUACAUAAGUGCUAGAAUUAGUUAAGGUUAUGAAACAAACUGUUAUGUCUUAAAUAAUUCUGCUUACGCAGUAUUUAGGCCCUGAAUGUCAUCGAGACCCAGGCUGAAUGUGUUGUUUUCUCUGUCAGAACAAAAACAUUGUGAUGAACCAAGCUUGCACACAGAUUUGUAUUGUAUAGGUUCAGACAAAUAUCUUUUCAGCUCUUCUCUCCUCACUCUCUGCAAAGACUACACCUCUAAGGCCUCAGUCUAUCUUAAUCCUUUCUUUUACUUAGUUCAUUAGAUGAGAUAACAUACUAUUGACUAUUGAGUUAUCUUCAAGACCUAUUUACUAAAUAUUCAAAAUGUAUUUCUUUAUUAUUUUGCAUUUAUUCAGUGUUCAUUAUAAUUGAUUUUAUUUCAUUAAUUAAAUUUUACCAAUUAAAAUUUUUGUUCCUUCUACAACUCAUCUGAGUAAUUGGAGUUAUUUUCCAUCAGUCUGCACCAACUGGAGGUCUCAACCAAGAUAAAGUUGAAAUUGGAUCAACUUUGUGAUUCUUCUCCUGCAAGGCAAAAAUUAGGAAGCCGAAUUUUUGGCCAGACCCCUUACUGAGGCCCUAAAAGGAUGUCUUCCAGGAACUGCUCCUCUAGAGUGGACUUCGGAGAUGGAUGAGUCCUUCUCCCUGCUCAAAACUGCCCUCGCUUCCUCUCCUGCCUGACAUCACCCUGCCAUGUUUAAACCAUUCCAUCUAUGGACUCAUGUUGGAUCACAUGCUUAUAACUGUGGGUUGGGUCAAACCAAAGGUGACAAAAACUUUGAUAUCACUGGCCAUUACUCCGCCCUGAUUCCAUACUCAAUGAAAGGCUUACUGCCUUGCCUGCUGGCUCUGGACUGUGCAGAGUGGGCCUUGAAGGCCACUAAGCCUGUUGUGGGGUACAAUCAAGUCAACCUCCACACACUGCAUCGCUUCCUCCACCUACUGGGGGAGACAAAGAUGAAGUCUAUCUCCAAUCAAAGAUGUGCCAAGUGGGAAACUGCCCUCACAAGCCCACAACUGACCUUCUGUGCUGAUAACAAAACAAACUCUGCCUCUCUGAUUGAAAAUACGGUGUCCUCACAUGACUGUGUUGACAGUGUCAUUAUUGACAAAGGACAUUAUGUGCUUGAUGAACCACUGAAAGACUCAAAAUCACUGUUCAUUGAUGGAAGCAGCUUCUAUGAGUGUGAUACGAUACACUGGAUGGGCAGUGGUCAAGGGGGAGUUGGGCAAUACUCUCUCUUUGGGGUUGCUUAAAGGGGGUAGUGCUCAAGUAGCAGAGAUUUACGCCUUAAAAUCGGCUCUAAACAUUGCCUCCAAUGAAAUUGAACCAAUUAACAUUUACACAGACAGCACAUAUUGCGAAAAUGACGUUCACAGCUUUGGCCCUAUUUGGAAACGUUGUGGGUACAGAACCACUUCUGGUACACCAAUAAGUCACUAACCAGUCCACAAAGAUAUUCUCGACAUUUGUGGUAAAAUUCAACCAAAUUGUGUCGCAGUUUACAAAGUCAUGGAUCACAGUACUUUUAACCAUACACUCUCAAAAGGAAAUUCCCUCACCGACAGGGCUGCUAAACAAGCUACAAAAUCACAAACAGCAGACAUGACUGUCAUUUUUUCUGUUCACCCAACUGUGUAGGCUCAGAGUCAUUGUCUAAGAUGUACAAUCCAGAUGAUGUUGAGGUUUGUCAAAAAUUGACUGCCACAUUAUCAGAUUAGGGAUUGUGGAUUUUAAACAACAAAGUUAUUCCGCCAAAGGGGUACCAAACUGAACUGAUUGAUUUGUAUCAUGGUUUGGCUCAUCAAGGAGUCAACAAAACACAUUCGAUGCUCCAACAAACUUGGUUUUGGCCCGACAUGAGAUUGAUGUGAAAGACAGGUUGUCCAGAUGCCUACAUUGUUUGAAAACAAAACCAUAAUUUAGGAAAGACAAAAUUUCAAAUGGUCAUAGCCCUCAUCCGAAGGGACCAUUUACACACUUGCAACUCGAUUUUACAUCAUUGCUUUCUGACCAUGGCUAUAAAUACGUACUGGUAAUUGUGUGUCAUUUUUCUCGAUGCGUAGAAGCGUUCCCUUUACAAAACGCCACUGCCGAGAAAGGUGGCUGAAAUUUUGCUGAGGGAAAUAUUCCCUCAAGAUUACCUCAUUGUUAACCAAUUUCUAAAAAAAAAAGAAAAAAGAAAAAAAAAAGAAAUUACACUGCCCUUAGCAUUUAAAACAUGAAAGAUCCAACACAUGAAGCGUACAAUUUAAGAGUGACAAACCCAGUGUAGGUGGGAGAUAAGGUAUUGAAUGAAAAACUAGGUAUUUUUGGAACAAUAUCCAGAGUUAUAGACAGCUCCAACAUCUUUGCUUGUUGAAAUUAAGCCAGGCUUGACUUUAUGGAUGCAUUUAAUGCAAACUUAACUCUUUCCCUGCUUGCUCUACUAAACCCACCCGCCGACCCCGCCGACGCUAUGCUUAAUGCUGCUUUAAUGAUAACACUACUUUCUCCCCCUGACAGGUCCACCGAUGUAAUGCUGCUUCGACGGAAAGGAAAUUCUCCUUCUACAAAAACAAAGAACAAAAAAAUAAACAUAAUAAUAAUACUAGUGACUAACUUUGUUGGAAGGGUUUCCCUUCCGUGUUUUUCUCUCUCCCCUCUUUCUCUCUUCUCUUUCUAUUAUUCUUUCUCUUUGAUAACAGGUACUGAUUGAUGCUAUCUGGACAGUAUACAGAGUUCCUAGAUCAGUUCGUGUGAUCUACCAGCUGACGCCUUCCUAGCCAUACUGGGGCAUGACCUUUUCCUGGACGAUCCUGCUUUUCAGUGUUGGUUGGCCGAUCGAUCCAAACACCAACACCACUACUCUUCGGGGCUGGGUCUAGCACCACUGGAGCCUAGAACUUCCGCCACAGAUGUUUCACUCUGGGUCCAGGACAAAUCCUUUGACUUGACUCCAUUCACCAAGCAAGAUACACACACUCGAUCCUGGUUUUGUUAAAAUUUCCCUACUUAUGGUUGUGAGAACCAACACAACACUUUCCAUUACACUUUUCCUGUUAACAGAUUUCAUACUGUUCAUGAUGGGAUAAUUCAGAAUGAGUUUUAUUUGAUUAAUGAGUUUUUACAAACUCAACUGGGGGACUGAUGCAUGUGGACAGGCAAUUUUCUUUAUUUUAUACUUUGCUUGUAUGAUAUUAUGUGUGUAGUCAAUUAUAAUCCUCUAUUAAGCAAUAUUCAUAUAUCCAUUCACUUAUCUAUGCAGUCAUGCCAACAAUGUACUUGAUAAUACUCAAAAUGUAUGCAGGUAUAUUAAGUAUUUAUUUUAAUAUUCAAUGUUCAGUGACUACAUAAGUGCUAGAAUUAGUUAAGUUUACGAUACAAACUGUUAUGUCUUAAAUAAUUCUGCGUACGCAGUUUUAGACCCUCUGAGGACUCAGUCUAUCUUAAUCCUUUCUUUUACUUAGUUCAUUAGAUGAGACAACAUACUAUAGACUUAGUUAGGAGUUAUAUCUUCAAGACCUAUUUACUAAAUAUUCAAAAUGUACUUCUUUAUUAUUUUGCAUUUAUUCAAUGUUCAUUAAAAUGUUACCAAUUAAAAUUGUUAUUCCUUCUACAGCUCAUCUGAGUUAUUGGAGUUAUUUUCCAUUUGCUGGAUCAGUCUGCACCAUGUUGUCAGUUAGAUUAUUGUUCGGUUCUCUGGAAAAGCUGGCCGGUAUUGAGAUUGCAUCUCAACUUUCCCUGGCCAGCACAUGCUACACCACCCAGCCCCUGGCUGUCUGACGUCCUUCGUGAACAUCAGACUGACCUCAGGGCAGCUGAGAGGAGAUGGCAGAAAUCUAAAGAUCCAGCAGAUCUAGAACAAGCUGCUGGAUGACAAUCAGUCAGGUUUCAAAAGUGGACACUCCACCGAGACUGUCCUGCUGGCUGUCACUGACUCGCUGAGACAGGCGAAAGCUCAAUCCAGAUCAUCCGUCCUGAUUCUGCUGGACCUUUCUGCAGCCUUUGACACAGUCAACCAUCAGAUCUUACUCUCUACCCUCUCCUCGCUGGGUAUCACGGGAACUGUGCUUGACUGGUUUAACUCCUAUCAAAUUCAAGGCUCUGAUGCUGGCAUACAGAACAGUCACUGGGUCUGCUCCAGCAUACCUAAAAUCAUUUAUGCAGAGCUACGCACCCACUAGAAGCCUGCGGUCAGCUAAGGAACGUCGCCUUGUUGCACCAACACAAAGAGGCACCAAAACACUUUCCCGGACUUUCAGCUUCAUCAUACCAUGUUGGUGGAACGACAUUCCCAACUCCAUCCAUGAAGCUGACUCACUCUCUGUCUUCAAAAAAUGACUAAAAACACAUCUUUUCCAUGAGCACUUAACCAGUCAUUAAAAAAAAAAAAAUAGUUUUGAAUACUAUUAUGAUGCUAGUGAUACUUUAUAAUACAGCACUUUUCAUACCACUGUCUCCUAAGAUGAUUCGCUUAUGUUUUCCUCUUUUGUAAGUCGCUUUGGAUAAAAGCGUCUGCCAAAUGAAUACAUGUAAAUGUAAAUGUAAAUGUCAUUUUAUAAAUAAAAAAAUAAAUAAAAUAAAAAAAAGCUACAAGAAAUACUACAAAAAUACUAA